rnacentral:misc_RNA from 1 species
CCGCCAGCCUACGCUCCUCUUCAGCCUCGUCGCGCGCUCUACUGCUCCGGUUCUCCUCCGCCAUGGUGCUGGCCGGCCCUCCCUACCUUGUCGUGGCCGGCCUCGACGCGAACCCUGCAACCUCCUCCAACACCCCCUCCCUGCGCGCGUCGCCGGCGCACCUGCCGCACCCAGGCCACACCUCCCGCUAUGAGGCGCCCGGAUCUGCGCGACCCUCCCUCCUCUCUGGGCGCGUGCAUGGUGACCGCCCUUGUCCCAAACCCGACCGUUGUGCUUCCCAACGCCGCCUGCCCCGAUCACCCCCUGCCUCCCCUGCUCGCGGCGUGGUCGUCUGCUCGGCCACUGACCUCCUCCGCUGUCAGACAGGCCCGCCGCCGACGCGGCGAGUAGGCGUGCGGGCCCCAGCGCGACCCCUUCCCCAACCACGGUGCGGCGGCCCUUCCCCGCCGGCACUUCUCCCUAGGCCGCCGACCCCUCCCCUUCUCCUCUGCUCGCCGGCGUCGCCCUGGCCUCUUCCCGGCGCAGUCUCCCCGCUAGGGAACCC